AUGAUUUAUGAUGUGACCUUCCUACUUCCUGUGCAAACAUCACCACUGGCACCUGACCCCAAUCAUUUUACAGUGGCCCAGCCCCGCCUUGCCACGCCCCGUCUGCCCCGUCCUGCUGCUCCACUUGCUGUUGCUGUAAAUGUUGUUUAUAGGAGGGGAGAGAGAAAAGCCUCACUGCUGCACAUCCCUCUUCACCCUCUUUAUUUCUACAUACACACACACAUACAUAUACAACACACAUACAUAUACAACAUCCACAUACAACACACAUUCAUCACAUACAUAUACUAUACACACACAUACAACACAUACAUAUACAACAUCCACAUACAACACACAUUCAUCACAUACAUAUGCACACACACACACACACACACACACACAUCACAUACGUAUACAACACACAUACAACACAUACAUAUACAACAUCCACAUACAACAAACAUACAACAGACAUUCAUCACAUACAUAUACAACACACAUACACACACACACACACACAUACAACACAUACACAUACUAUACACACACACAUCACAUACAUAUACAACACACAUACACACACAUCACACACACUGUACACAUACACAUACACAUACUAUACACACACAUUCAUCACAUACAUAUACAACACACAUACAACACAUACAUAUACACAUCCACAUACAACAAACAUACAACACACAUUCAUCACAUACAUAUACAACACACAUACACACACACACAUUCAUCACAUACGUAUACAACACACAUACAACACAUACAUAUACAACAUCCACAUACAACAGACAUUCAUCACAUACACAUACAACACAUACAUAUAAAACAUCCACAUACAACAAACAUACAACACACAUUCAUCACAUACAUAUACGUACAUACACACACACCACACACACAUACAACACAUAUAUAUACUACACACAUACACAUCACACACACAUACACAUACUAUACACACACACAUUCAUCACAUACAUAUACAACGCACAUACACACACACCACACACACAUAUACUACACACAUACACACACAUUCAUCACAUACAAAUACAAUCAAUUUACAACAUGCAAAACACAUUUACAAGCUGA
rnacentral:lncRNA from 1 species